CUUAAGUAGUAUAUCAAAGUAUUUUUACUUAAAUACUUUACACCACUGUCGCUCUGCUUCUACCAUAGUAGACACGUGUUUCACUGUCUGUGAGUUAGACACCAUCUCCCAAGCUACAGUGUCAUAAAAAGCACCAUAGAAUGGAAUGGCACCACUGCUGAUGUGAGUUUAUUGAAUGUGACAGUGAAGCAGUUCACCAAGGCCCUAGGUCAGUCACAGUUCUAACAGGCCUUUCCAGGAAGAUAGUUGCUUCACAAAUUUAACUAUGAUUUCCCUGCAUGAGUAUAACAAUUCAAGAUUAUAGUAAAGAAUGUAGUUUAAAAAAGUAAGAAAAUAAAGUAGGGUACUUAUUUUUCCUAUUUUUGUUGUACACUGAUAUGUUGGAAAUGACAGUCAUUGAGAUCCACUAAGAGGAUGUGAUUAAGCUUUAAUUUCUUUAAAGUGCUUUUUAAUGACUAUUUUCAUGUCUUUACUCCUAGCCUAUUAUCCCUCCUCCAGGGGAUGGAGUCUUAAGGGAUAAUCUGAGAUCAGAUCAGAGACAUUAGAGGAUUGAUUCCCCACCUCCCUUAAGAGGACAUCUUCCCCCAGAUUCGUGUGCAGGUAGAAGCGCCAAGCUCAGAGCCACUGAUGGGGCGGGUGCUGUACCAAUCAUUAAUCCUCCAUCAAUCACGACCUUUGAUGUUUAGAUGUAUGUGUGUAGGCAAGGCUUGAUGGAUUUCUCCUUUUGUUUAAAACUAUAAAUCAAGUGCUGGAAAUCAAAACUUUGUAAAAUAAAUGUUUGUUUCUGUU